CGCCCUUAGAGUUUGAUUUUGCGCUCAAGAUGAACGCUGGCGGCGUGCUUAACACAUGCAAGUCGAGCGGGGCGCAUCUGCGGAAUUUUUUGGAAGGAAGCGGAUGCGCUUAGCGGCGGACGGGUGAGUAACGCGUGGGCAACCUGCCUCAUACGGGGGGAUAACAGUUAGAAAUGACUGCUAAUACCGCAUAAGCGCACGAGGGCCGCAUGGCCCGGUGUGAAAAACUCCGGUGGUAUGAGAUGGACCUGCGUCUGAUUAGCUUGUUGGCGGGGUAACGGCCCACCAAGGCGACGAUCAGUAGCCGACCUGAGAGGGUGGCCGGCCACAUUGGGACUGAGACACGGCCCAAACUCCUACGGGAGGCAGCAGUGGGGAAUAUUGCACAAUGGGGGAAACCCUGAUGCAGCAACGCCGCGUGAGUGAAGAAGUAUCUCGGUAUGUAAAGCUCUAUCGGCAGGGAAGAAAGAAGACGGUACCUGACUAAGAAGCCCCGGCUAACUACGUGCCAGCAGCCGCGGUAAUACGUAGGGGGCGAGCGUUAUCCGGAUUUACUGGGUGUAAAGGGAGCGUANACGGCAUAGCAAGUCUGAAGUGAAAGCCCGCGGCUCAACCGCGGAACCGCUUUGGAAACUGUUAAGCUGGAGUGCUGGAGAG
rnacentral:rRNA from 1 species